UGGGGAAUUUUGGACAAUGGGCGCAAGCCUGAUCCAGCCAUUCCGCGUGAGUGAAGAAGGCCUUCGGGUUGUAAAGCUCUUUCGCAAGGGAAGAAAACUUAUCCUCUAACAUAGGAUGAGGUUGACGGUACCUUGAUAAGAAGCACCGGCUAACUACGUGCCAGCAGCCGCGGUAAUACGUAGGGUGCGAGCGUUAAUCGGAAUUACUGGGCGUAAAGCGUGCGCAGGCGGUUCUAUAAGACAGAUGUGAAAUCCCCGGGCUUAACCUGGGAACUGCGUUUGUGACUGUAGGACUUGAGUGUGGCAGAGGGGGGUGGAAUUCCACGUGUAGCGGUGAAAUGCGUAGAGAUGUGGAGGAACACCGAUGGCGAAGGCAGCCCCCUGGGUCAACACUGACGCUCAUGCACGAAAGCGUGGGGAGCAAACAGG
rnacentral:rRNA from 1 species